rnacentral:tRNA from 1 species
GGGAUUGUAGCUCAGCGGUAGAGCACUCGACUAGGAAGUGGGAGGCCCUGGGUUUGAUCCUUAGCACCA